AACGAACGCUGGCGGCGGGCUUAACACAUGCAAGUCGAGCGGAACGGCCCGGCUGCUGUGGGGUGCUCGAGUAGCCAACGGGAGAGUAACACGUGAUUAACCUACCCUUGACUUUGGGAUAACUACAGGAAACUGGGGCUAAUACCGGAUAGGAGCUCCUGCUGAAUGGUGGGGGUUGGAGAGUUUCGGCGGUUGGGGAUGGACUCGCGGCUAAUCAGCUUGUUGGUGGGGUAGUGGCUUACCAAGGCAUUGACGGGUGGCCGGCCUGAGAGGGUGACCGGACACACUGGGCCUGAGAUACGGCCCAGACUCCUACGGGAGGCAGCAGUGGGGAAUAUUGCACAGUGGGCGGAAGCCUGAUGCAGCAACGCCGCGUGCGGGAUGACGGCCUUCGGGUUGUAAACCGCUUUCGCCUGUGACGAAGCGUGAGUGACGGUAAUGGGUAAAGAAGCACCGGCUAACUACGUG
rnacentral:rRNA from 1 species